rnacentral:rRNA from 1 species
AGGCUUUGAUCCUGGCUCAGGAUGAACGCUAGCGGGAGGCCUAAUACAUGCAAGUCGAGCGGUAGAGAGACUUCGGUUUCUUGAGAGCGGCGCACGGGUGAGUAACGCGUACAUGACCUACCUGUAAGAGGGGAAUAGCCCCGGGAAACUGGGAUUAAUGCCCCAUAGUAUUGAUGUUAUAGAGAUAUCAAUUAAAGCUACGGUGCUUACAGAUGGGUGUGCGUCUGAUUAGCUAGUUGGUGGGGUAAAGGCCCACCAAGGCGACGAUCAGUAGGGGGCGUGAGAGCGUGAUCCCCCACACGGGUACUGAGACACGGACCCGACCCCUACGGGAGGCAGCAGUAAGGAAUAUUGGGCAAUGGGCGGAAGCCUGACCCAGCCAUCCCGCGUGCAGGAAGAAUGCCCUAUGGGUUGUAAACUGCUUUUAUAAGGGAAGAAACGCCUGGAUUUAUCUAAGGGUUUGACGGUACCUAUAUGAAUAAGCACCGGCGUAAA